GAGAAGGAGGGAUGUGUGUUUGCAAAGAUAGAGUAAAUUCAUACUUUAAGGUUUGUAAUGUAAGAUGAUGUUAGUUAAUUAUAUGAUUUGUAAUGAGAAUAUAUGGGAAAUAUAUUGUGCUUUAAUUAGGAUUAUAAACAUUAGACCCCUGUGUUGAGAUCUGUAGUUUAAGAGGUAACAUUCUUUCCCAAGACCUAUAGAGUUUAAUGGGAACAAUGUCUUAUUUAUAUAAAUUGAUCUAAUUUUGA